GUUUUUGUUAAAACUUCUACACUAUUUUGUUAAAUAUGGUCCACAAGUAGUUUUGAGUUUUCCUCACAUUAAGUACUAUCUUUCUGUCAUUGUCUGUUGCGUGAAACAUUUUCUCUCAUAUUGUGUUGAUCGGUGUGUGUUCUGGUAUUGUCUGUGUAGUGUAGUUUACUUAUGUUAUAAGGUCAUCUUGAUGUCUUCUUUUUUAUGGCUAUGUCAAACAAGCAACUUCUCCCCCAUGGUUUGUACGAUAAAUGUGAACACUACAAGCAUUUUCCCUUACAUUUUCAAUUUUCUUGAUUAUUUUGUAUCAUAUCAGUGCUGGUGCUCAAUGAUGUUGACAAACUCUCCAGAGAAG
rnacentral:lncRNA from 1 species